AUUGGUGAUGUUAUCAAUGCUCCCAAAUAGUCAAAUUAAUUGUGGAAUGUUCCUGAAACGUGCCGAGGGAACGGAUUCUCAUGUCGUUUUCACCAAAAACCCCUUUCUCAUUUUCCCUCCCAAAAACAAUGCUUCGUUCUUCUCAUUUCAAUUUCAAUAUCAUAUCUAUAAUCCAUUCGUGAUUACAUUAACAAAAAGUAGUCCAUAUCUUCAGAGAAUUUUGUCCUAGAAAAGAAAGAUAGGGUUUCGAGUGGAGAAAUGUCACCAAUAGUGGCUCCCUCUGCGGCGGCCAAACAAGCGGAACAACUGAAGCAAGAUGGCAAUAAUUACUUCCAGAAAAAUCGAUUUGCCGCUGCCAUCGAUGCCUACACCGAGGCUAUUACAUUGUGCCCUAAUGUUCCCAUAUAUUGGACCAAUCGUGCUUUGUGCCAUCGGAAACGCAAUGAGUGGACCAGAGUAGAGGAAGAUUGUAGGGAGGCUAUUCAG